rnacentral:rRNA from 1 species
AUUGAACGCUGGCGGCAUGCCUUACACAUGCAAGUCGAACGGCAGCACGGGAGCAAUCCUGGUGGCGAGUGGCGAACGGGUGAGUAAUAUAUCGGAACGUGCCCAGUCGUGGGGGAUAACGUAGCGAAAGCUACGCUAAUACCGCAUACUAUCUAUGGAUGAAAGGCGGGGGAUCGCAAGACCUCGCGCGAUUGGAGCGGCCGAUAUCAGAUUAGGUAGUUGGUGAGGUAAGGCUCACCAAGCCGACGAUCUGUAGCUGGUCUGAGAGGACGACCAGCCACACUGGGACUGAGACACGGCCCACGACUCC